rnacentral:rRNA from 1 species
GGGAAUUUUCCACAAUGGGCGAAAGCCUGAUGGAGCAACGCCGCGUGAGGGAUGAAGGUCUUCGGAUUGUAAACCUCUUUGGAGUGGGAAGAACGAUUUUCAUAUUAAUAGUAUGGAGAAGUGACGGUACCACUAGAACAAGACACGGCUAACUCUGUGCCAGCAGCCGCGGUAAUACAGAGGUGUCAAACGUUGUCCGGAAUUACUGGGCGUAAAGGGCGCGUAGGCGGUCCUAUAAGUCAGAUGUGAAAGCUCCGGGCUCAACCCGGGAAUUGCAUCUGAUACUGUAGGACUUGAGUUCGGUAGAGGAGGGCGGAAUUCCAGGUGUAGCGGUGAAAUGCGUAGAUAUCUGGAGGAACACCCGUGGCGAAGGCGGCUCUCUGGUCCGAAACUGACGCUGAGGUGCGAAAGCUAGGGUAGCAAA